CCCGGGCGGCUGCAGUGGGGAAUAUUGGACAAUGGGGGCAACCCUGAUCCAGCCAUGCCGCGUGUGUGAAGAAGGCCCUCGGGUUGUAAAGCACUUUCAGUGAGGAAGAACGCCUGGUGGUUAAUACCCAUCAGGAAAGACAUCACUCACAGAAGAAGCACCGGCUAACUCCGUGCCAGCAGCCGCGGUAAUACGGAGGGUGCGAGCGUUAAUCGGAAUUACUGGGCGUAAAGCGCGCGUAGGUGGCUUGAUAAGCCGGUUGUGAAAGCCCCGGGCUCAACCUGGGAACGGCAUCCGGAACUGUCAAGCUAGAGUGCAGGAGAGGAAGGUAGAAUUCCCGGUGUAGCGGUGAAAUGCGUAGAGAUCGGGAGGAAUACCAGUGGCGAAGGCGGCCUUCUGGACUGACACUGACACUGAGGUGCGAAAGCGUGGGUAGCAAACAGGAUUAGAUACCCCUGUAGUC
rnacentral:rRNA from 1 species